ACAUGCAAGUCGAACGAUGAUGCCCAGCUUGCUGGGUGGAUUAGUGGCGAACGGGUGAGUAACACGUGAGUAACCUGCCCCUGACUCUGGGAUAAGCGUUGGAAACGACGUCUAAUACUGGAUAUGAUUACCGGCCGCAUGGUCUGGUGGUGGAAAGAUUUUUUGGUUGGGGAUGGACUCGCGGCCUAUCAGCUUGUUGGUGAGGUAAUGGCUCACCAAGGCGACGACGGGUAGCCGGCCUGAGAGGGUGACCGGCCACACUGGGACUGAGACACGGCCCAGACUCCUACGGGAGGCAGCAGUGGGGAAUAUUGCACAAUGGGCGAAAGCCUGAUGCAGCAACGCCGCGUGAGGGAUGACGGCCUUCGGGUUGUAAACCUCUUUUAGUAGGGAAGAAGGGAGCUUGCUCUUGACGGUACCUGCAGAAAAAGCACCGGCUAACUACGUGCCAGCAGCCGCGGUAAUACGUAGGGUGCAAGCGUUGUCCGGAAUUAUUGGGCGUAAAGAGCUCGUAGGCGGUUUGUCGCGUCUGCUGUGAAAUCCCGAGGCUCAACCUCGGGCUUGCAGUGGGUACGGGCAGACUAGAGUGCGGUAGGGGAGAUUGGAAUUCCUGGUGUAGCGGUGGAAUGCGCAGAUAUCAGGAGGAACACCGAUGGCGAAGGCAGAUCUCUGGGCCGUAACUGACGCUGAGGAGCGAAAGCAUGGGGAGCGAACAGGAUUAGAUACCCUGGUAGUCCAUGCCGUAAACGUUGGGCGCUAGAUG
rnacentral:rRNA from 1 species